rnacentral:misc_RNA from 1 species
GAAAUGCGAUAAGUAAUGUGAAUUGCAGAAUUCGGUGAAUCAUCGAAUCUUUGAACGCACCUUGCGCUCCUUGGUAUUCCUUGGAGCAUGCCUGUUUGAGUAUCAUGAAAUCUUUAAAGUAAAUCUUUUGUUAACUCAAUUGGUUUCUACUUUGGUAUUGGAGGACUUUGCAGCUUCACACCUGCUCCUCUUUGUUCAUUAGCUGGAUCUCAGUGUUAUGCUUGGUUCCACUCGGCGUGAUAAGUUAUCUAUCGCUGAGGACACUGUAAAAGGUGGCCAAGGUAAAUGCAGAUGAACCGCUUCUAAUAGUCCAUUGACUUGGACAAUACUUUUAUGAUCUGAUCUCAAAUCAGGUAGGACUACCCGCUGAACUUAAGC